ACUUGUUCACAGGCAGUGAUUAGUCUGUGUGGUUUAUUUUACUGAUAGGAUUUACUUUGCUAGAAUAACCCAGAAACAUUUGUUCAGUUCUGUUAAGGAUAAUUUUAACUUAAAGAAUACGAGAGACAAUUGUAACAUAGAAACUUCAGAAAAAUGUGUAGAUCAUCUUUGACCUUCCAAGUUGGUGUUGUCCUGAUUGCUAUUUGUCUAUUGGAUGUUGUUGUUUCAGAAGACAGACGUAUCAACAGACAGAAAAGAGGUUUCCGGAUGAACUCGGCGUCCCGCGUUGCCCAUGGUUACGGCAAAAGAGGUUAUCAGCUGCCAUCUUCUUCCUCUUCCGGUGAAAGUCAAGACCAGUUAGAAAGUUAUACGGGGCUAUUGGAAGAGUUAUC
rnacentral:sRNA from 1 species